rnacentral:rRNA from 1 species
AUUGAACGCUGGCGGCAGGCCUAACACAUGCAAGUCGAACGAGUGGCGGACGGGUGAGUAAUGUUUGGGAAACUGCCUGAUGGCGGGGGAUAACUACUGGAAACGGUAGCUAAUACCGCAUACUAUCAGAUGUGCCCAGAUGGGAUUGGCUUGUUGGUGGGGUAACGGCUCACCAGGGCGACGAUCCCUAGCUGGUCUGAGAGGAUGACCAGCCACACUGGAACUGGGACACGGUCCAGACUCCUACGGGGGGCAGCAGUGGGGAAUAUUGCAAAAGGGGCGCAAGCCUGAUGCAGCCAUGCCGCGUGUAUGAGGAAGGCCUUCGGGUUGUAAAGCACUUUAAGUUGGGAGGCGUUACCAACAGAAUAAGCACCGGCUAACUUCGUGCCAGCAGCCGCGGUAAUAC